CAGGAAGGUUCCCAGCAAUAAUCCCAGAGGGACCUCACAGGGCUCUUAUCCAUCACACUCCCUGAGUUACUCAGAUCUAGUUGAGUCGCCUGUGCCUUUGUGAAAAGAAAUGAUCGGACUGGCCUCUUCCUUUCUCCGAGGGCAUAAGAUUUGGAAAGAUUAAGCAAUUUAUCCAGUUCCACACAGUGAGUGGACCAGACUUAAGCUAAAACCUGACUUGAAAGCCCUGCUCUUAACCACAGUUUUACACUGAGCUCCUUCCUGGGAAUCUUCAAACACAUGCCUUCCUGGUGUGACAUCUAUUUCAGAAUGCAAUUCACCAAAUAAGAAAAGUGUAAGAGCAUGCAUUCACAUUACAGAGUAAUGUGAUAAAGACAGUGAAGAGGACCACAAUUAUCACCAGCAUCACUGAGCAUAAAAUGCCCAGAGUCACAGCAAUCAGACGGCAAUGAGAGGAUGCAGCACAAAGUCCUGCAAAGUCAAAGGGAGCAGAAACUGAAUCAAGAAACAGGAUGAUAAAUCACUGCGCACUUCAGUUCUACAGUUCAUCAAAAUCUGAU